ensembl:ncRNA T28B11.23 ncRNA
UUUUUCAUUGCCUCCUCGCUGCGGAAAAGAUAGCAGCAUCAUUGUUGUGUGUUCCCUUUCAUCCUCAUUCCCCCGCUAACAAUUUUCGGUUGUGUCGUCAACAGGCAACGAUCACGUGAAUCCAGAGAG